GUUUUUCUCCUGGUAUCCACUGUAGGCCUGUAUGUUCGAUAAAAUUCAUAAGGCACGCGGUGAAUGCCAAGAGCGAACGA
rnacentral:pre_miRNA from 1 species